GGUAACAGGAAGCAGUUGCUGCUUCGCUGACGAGUGGCGGACGGGUGAGUAAUGUCUGGGAAACUGCCUGAUGGAGGGGGAUAACUACUGGAAACGGUGGCUAAUACCGCAUAACGUCGCAAGACCAAAGAGGGGGACCUUCGGGCCUCUUGCCAUCAGAUGUGCCCAGAUGGGAUUAGCUUGUUGGUGAGGUAACGGCUCACCAAGGCGACGAUCCCUAGCUGGUCUGAGAGGAUGACCAGCCACACUGGAACUGAGACACGGUCCAGACUCCUACGGGAAGCAGUGGGGAAUAUUGCACAAUGGGCGCAAGCCUGAUGCAGCCAUGCCGCGUGUAUGAAGAAGGCCUUCGGGUUGUAAA
rnacentral:rRNA from 1 species